rnacentral:rRNA from 1 species
GACGAACGCUGGCGGCGUGCUUAACACAUGCAAGUCGAACGGAAAGGUCCUGCUUUUGUGGGGUGCUCGAGUGGAGAACGGGUGAGUAACACGUGAGUAACCUGUCAUUGACUUUGGGAUAACUUAAUGAAACUGGGGCUCAUACCGGAUAGGAGCUACUGCUGCAUGGUGGGGGCUGGAAGGUUUCGGCGGUUGGGGAUGGAAUCGCGGCCUAUCAGCUUGGUGGUGGGGUAGUGGCUUACCAAGGCUUUGAAGGGUAGCCGGCCUGCGAGGGUGACCGGCCACAUUGGGACGGAGAUGCGACCCGGACUCCUACGGUAGGCAGCAGUGGGGAAUAGUGCACAAGGGGCGGAAGCCUGAUGCAGCAACGCCGCGUGCGGGAUGACGUCCUUCGGGUUGUAAACCGCUUUCGCCUGUGACGAAGCGUGAGUGACGGUAAUGGGUAAAGAAGCACCGGCUAACUACGUG